rnacentral:misc_RNA from 1 species
UGGAAGACCUUCUCGCCUUAAGGGCGCAUAGCACUUUUGACCAAACUAAUCAUAAAAUCUAGUAAGUCAGGGUGCCAUCUCUUAAAAAGUGGAUGCUCCUAUAUUAGGGCAUCUAGAAGUGAAAAUAGCAUACCAUGAUGCCCUAAAUGCUUGGUAGUUGGUUUGGGUCAAAAGCAAGGUUUGACUGACUCAUGAAAUCCUACCUAGAGUUCACAAAAUUGAAGCAGUGAUCUUUGCUUGCAGUAAGGUUCAAGGGAUCAUUUAUACACAUGCUCCAAAGCACCACCAUAUGAGGGUAAGCAAACAUAACACCAUUCUUUCCAAACAAAAAUUGAUGCUAGAUGAUCACAUUGUUAAGGUAGUAUAACUGAGUUUUAUAAAUAAACUGUUCUUCACCAAACAAAACAUCUACUAAUGAAAUCAGACCUUAUUUGCUCUAAGCCCCCAUCAAUAAAGGCUUCAGCGCCCCCCCAAGGCCACACUUUUUGAAAUUUUUCUGCAAGGUCCUUUGAGCCUAUCUACGAAUAUAUCCCUUUUGUGCAGCUUACUACUACCCUCUUGCUUGAAGCCCACUCCAAAGCAUUUGCUAGCUCUGGGUCCUCUUGGACUUGUCAUGUUCAUUAUCCUCCCUCGAGCUACAUCAUCAUGCCAGAACUAAUCCACAUUGACCUACUCCUUUUAAGAAACUAGUUCCCAUUGUAAAUGGAAAACCCUAACUAUUUUCAUGAUUAAUCUCUAUAUUAUUGUAGUAUAAAAUGUUGCAACUUUAAAAAAUGAUAUUUUAUAAUCUAUAACUACCCAAAUUAACCCAAGCAUCCAACCUGCACCUUGCAAGCAAACCACAUUUGUUUGGUCUCCCAAGUCCUAACAGAGAUAACAUUGAUUAACAGUAAAAGAAUGUCAUUGUAAGUUUGUAACAAAAAUUAACUUAAUCAAAACAAUCGAGAAGUACCUGUUUUUUUUGUUGGUUUAGCCAAGCCCCACAACA